CUCACGUUCGUCUUGCAGGUG
rnacentral:misc_RNA from 1 species